UUCCGGUUGAUCCCGCCGGACCCGACUGCUAUCAGAGUGGGACUAAGCCAUGCGAGUCAACAUAGCAAUAUGUGGCAUACGGCUCAGUAACACGUAGUCAACAUGCCCAGGGGACGUGGAUAACCUCGGGAAACUGAGGAUAAACCGCGAUAGGUCAUCACUUCUGGAAUGGGUAAUGACUUAAAUCUAUAUGGCCCCUGGAUUGGACUGCGGCCGAUCAGGCUGUUGGUGAGGUAAUGGCCCACCAAACCUGUAACCGGUACGGGCUCUGAGAGGAGGAGCCCGGAGAUGGGCACUGAGACAAGGGCCCAGGCCCUAUGGGGCGCAGCAGGCGCGAAACCUCUGCAAUAGGCGAAAGCUUGACAGGGUUACUCUGAAUGAUUUCCGUUAAGGAGAUCUUUUGGCACCUCUAAAAAUGGUGCAGAAUAAGGGGUGGGCAAGUCUGGUGUCAGCCGCCGCGGUAAUACCAGCACCCCGAGUGGUCGGGACGUUUAUUGGGCCUAAAGCAUCCGUAGCCGGUUCUACAAGUCUUCCGUUAAAUCCACCUGCUUAACAGAUGGGCUGCGGAAGAUACUAUAGAGCUAGGAGGCGGGAGAGGCAAGCGGUACUCGAUGGGUAGGGGUAAAAUCCGUUGAUCCAUUGAAGACCACCAGUGGCGAAGGCGGCUUGCCAGAACGCGCUCGACGGUGAGGGAUGAAAGCUGGGGGAGCAAACCGGAUUAGAUACCCGGGUAGUCCCAG
rnacentral:rRNA from 1 species